UGCAAGUCGAGGGGCAGCAUUUCUAGCUUGCUAGAAGAUGGCGACCGGCGGACGGGUGCGUAACGCGUAUGCAACUUGCCUAUAACUUAGGGAUAACUUGGAGAAAUCCUUGCUAAUAUCUGAUGUGAUCAAAAAUUCGCAUGUUUUUUUGAUUAAAGAAUUUCGGUUAUAGAUAGGCAUGCGUCCUAUUAGCUAGUUGGUAAGGUAAUGGCUUACCAAGGCUACGAUAGGUAGGGGGCCUGAGAGGGUGAUCCCCCACACUGGUACUGAGACACGGACCAGACUCCUACGGGAGGCAGCAGUGAGGAAUAUUGGUCAAUGGAGGCAACUCUGAACCAGCCAUCCCGCGUGAAGGAUUGAAGGCGCUCGACGUCGUAAACUUCUUUUAUAUAGAAAUAAACUUAGGUACGUGUACUUAAUUGAAUGUACUAUAUGAAUAAGCAUCGGCUAACUCCGUGCCAGCAGCCGCGGUAAUACGGAGGAUGCAAGCGUUAUCCGGAUUUAUUGGGUUUAAAGGGUCCGCAGGCGGACUAAUAAGUCAGUGGUGAAAUCCCAUCGCUCAACGAUGGAACUGCCAUUGAAACUGUUAGUCUUGAGUCUAGUUGACGUAGGCGGAAUAUGACAUGUAGCGGUGAAAUGCAUAGAUAUGUCAUAGAACACCAAUUGCGAAGGCAGCUUACGAAACUACGACUGACGCUCAUGGACGAAAGCGUGGGUAGCGAACAGGAUU
rnacentral:rRNA from 1 species